GUGGGAAGAAAACAUUGAUUAUGCUUGGAGGCAGGGGAAACCAGCACUUCUGUACCCAGAUGGAUAAACCUCUCUAAACUGGGAUUCAACAGUAGGAAAACCAUCAGAACGCGAGGACUCUUCCUCACAUGGCCUGUUUCUGAGGCAGAGAGAGCCACUGCGGAAGAGGUGCUGCAAAUGCCCCCUCACACGGGAGCGAGGGUGCUGUAUCAUGAGGAAGAACCUACGUUCAACUUGAAACUGUGGAGGACGGAAACUGAGAGGUUUUACUAAACUCCAUGGGAGAGGAAAACAAGACGAGACCUGAAACUGAAUUUUUCAACGCCUCUCUGUGGAAUAUCUUUUGAUUCUGGGCAAUCACUUUGAGAUAGCUGGCUGGGGGUCAGAAGAGACGUCUGUGGCUGUGGAACUGAUCGAGGGGCAGAGAAGGAUCCAACUCAACCUUUAGGUUUCCUGUGUACCAUGGCGUCCAGCCAGCAACAAGACACUGUAUCUCAGAAGCCACCAGAGACAAGAUCACUUUCCAAGAGAAACAUAAGCCUCUCAUAUAAUCACCUACUGGUAUAUUUUGGCUUGUGAAGCCUAACUAGUUUGUGAAGGCGUGCCAAUGAGGAUGACAUUUGCUUGUGUGGACAGACUAAGGAUAAAGUGGUCAAAGGAUAAGAAGGUGAUGACUAGAAGAACAAAGAUGUCAUCGGAGCCAGACUGUUUGAUAAUAACAGCAGGAGUUCUG